CGUACACAUCGAGUCGAGCGGGAGAGCUGUUACGGGGUACACGAGCGGCGAACGGGUGAGUAACACGUGGGUGAUCUGCCCUGCACUCUGGGAUAAGCUUGGGAAACUGGGUCUAAUACCGGAUAUGACCACAGCAUGCAUGUGUUGUGGUGGAAAGAUUUAUCGGUGCAGGAUGGGCCCGCGGCCUAUCAGCUUGUUGGUGGGGUAAUGGCCUACCAAGGCGACGACGGGUAGCCGACCUGAGAGGGUGACCGGCCACACUGGGACUGAGACACGGCCCAGACUCCUACGGGAGGCAGCAGUGGGGAAUAUUGCACAAUGGGCGGAAGCCUGAUGCAGCGACGCCGCGUGAGGGAUGAAGGCCUUCGGGUUGUAAACCUCUUUCAGCAGGGACGAAGCGUGAGUGACGGUACCUGCAGAAGAAGCACCGGCUAACUACGUGCCAGCAGCCGCGGUAAUACGUAGGGUGCGAGCGUUGUCCGGAAUUACUGGGCGUAAAGAGUUCGUAGGCGGUUUGUCGCGUCGUUUGUGAAAACCCGGGGCUCAACUUCGGGCUUGCAGGCGAUACGGGCAGACUUGAGUGUUUCAGGGGAGACUGGAAUUCCUGGUGUAGCGGUGAAAUGCGCAGAUAUCAGGAGGAACACCGGUGGCGAAGGCGGGUCUCUGGGAAACAACUGACGCUGAGGAACGAAAGCGUGGGUAGCAAACAGGAUUAGAUACCCUGGUAGUCCACGCCGUAAACGGUGGGCGCUAGGUGUGGGUUCCUUCCACGGGAUCUGUGCCGUAGCUAACGCAUUAAGCGCCCCGCCUGGGGAGUACGGCCGCAAGGCUAAAACUCAAAGGAAUUGACGGGGGCCCGCACAAGCGGCGGAGCAUGUGGAUUAAUUCGAUGCAACGCGAAGACCUUACCUGGGUUUGACAUACACCGGAAAAUCGGAAGAGAUCCGUUCCCCUUGUGGUCGGUGUCCAGGUGGUCCAGGGCGGUCGUCAGCUCGUGUCGUGAGAUGUUGGGUUAAUUCCGCCACGAAGCCCACCCUUUUUUUUAGUGCCCCACCAGUUAAUGAUGGGGACUCGUAGGAGACUCCGGGGUUCAAUUGGGAGGAAGGGGGGGAGGAGGCCAGUUCUCCAUCCCCUUAAUGUCCAGGGUUUCCCCCUUGUUCCAAUGCCCAGUCCAAAGGGUUGGGAGCCCUGGAGGGGGAGGAAUUCCUUUAAAGUGGUUUCCAUUUGGAUUGGGGUUUUCCAAUUGGCCCCCUUGAAUUGGGAGUCGUUAGUAUUGCCGAUUCAGCACCGUUCCGGUGAUUAGUUUCCCGGCCUUUACCCCACCCCCGGCCAUUCCAAAAAUUCGGUACCACCGAAACCGGUGUGCUAUGUAACCCUCCUGGACGGAGCCGUCGAAUGGGGAUUCGUAU
rnacentral:rRNA from 1 species